AGCAGCCCUUGCCGCCGCCUACAAUGAAAUUGGCGAAGUUUUUUCGGUUUCGGCGCCAUUUUCGAGUGGACUCGGAGGAAUUGAGCUUCCAAAUCUUGUUUAAAACUGGAUGAGAUUACCAAAAACAAACCCGGAUAAAUAUAUGGCUAUGACAAGAAGCAUCCAAGCUCUUCUCCUCGGGAGUGUGGAGGAAAUAGAACCAAAAAAUACCCUGUGGACCCUGGAGUUUUGCUGUGGUUUUGACUGGGUUGGUUUUUAUUCUGGAGUGCUUUGCCGUUGGAACUGCAAUUGCCCGGUGGCCAGGGAGAGGCAAGGCAGAAGGAGCCAAGACACCUGUGUCCAGAAAAUAAUUGUGGAGUCUUGAAAAAAAGAAUAAUUAAAUGAAAAAGUUGAUGGUUUAGAUUUCUCCAGAAGCAAACCAAGCCAAAUAAAAAUCUGUGGAUGAAAACUUGUAACAGGUUUGGACUGUUUGGGGGCUGAAUCCAGCUGUUAAUUUUGCAACUCCCGCAAAGUCCUUGAUGCUCAGCAGCCCCUAAGAGGGAAGUACAAAGUAGCAUUUCCCCGGAGCCUGUUGGGAAGGGCCAGGAAAGGGUUGCAGGACCUGCUGCAAGAGCCAGCAGGGUUGCUAGAUCUGAAAGUGAAGAUUUGCCGAGGUGGGUGGGGGGCACGCAGUUGAUUUCCGAUUCUUGUUUCUGAAACUGCUUUGUUUGCAAUGUGUAACUGCUUCUUCUCUUAUAGUUACAGACUUUCUGAUAGCACCCAGGAAGAAAAAUUCUGCCCUGUGCUGUUCAUGCAUGUUUAAAUAUCUUCAUUGUUGAGUGUUCUUCAGUACCUUUAUAUCAUGUUUUCUUAAAUACAUAUAUAUAUACAUAGUACCAUUUGGAAUGCCAACAUUCAGUGGGCUUUGAGGAGAUGUAGCAGCACAUCAUGGUUUGUAGGGACAAGGAGAUACAGACCAUUCUGGGCUGCCUCAUUACCUCAAGGAUAAGACAAGAAAGUGAGCUUCUGGUUAUCAUAGAUGUGGAAGCUAACACAUUCCCAUGUAUCUCUGUAGUUCAGUUGAACACCAGGUAUGUGUAGAGACAGUCUCUUGGUGCUUGUAUCUGUGCACAGCCUUUGCAGCUAACAAAUAAAAUCCCUCUGAGUGUGUGUGUGUGUAUCUCAGCGGGGCUGGCCCUGCAGGCAGGAAGGACUUGCAGUUCCUUUUUGUUCUCCAUCAUGGGCAUGGCCCAUGGUGGCUUUUUCAGCACCCUGCCUUCAGCUGGCACCUUACCCUUCACCUGCUGCCCAUUGCUCCUUUCCCUGGGAAAGAACCAGCCACACCUCCCCUGGUGCCCUGUGUCUGGGAGGGGAAAGGGGUGUCUGGCGGCGAUGGAGAGCUGUCAGCAGUGCUCUAGCAGCACGUAAAUACUGGAGUUUGGGAUUGCCUGUUGCUCUCCAGUAUUGCAUUGCUGCUUUAGUGAGGCUGGAAACUGGUCCCUGCUGCAGGAGCUGGUGCUCUGGCUCUUGGGGUGCUUCCUGAGCACCCCCAUGGCACCUUCCACGCUGCUGCUCCUCGGGGGCUCUGGGCUCCCGCACCAAUAAACCACUGCGGAGGCAGCAACCAA